UACCAUCGUCCGUCGGGCCACAAGAAAACCCAACUUCUCCUUCUCGUUCUUUUCCCUCUCUGCUCCAGAACGUUUGACGACCAAAACGACGCCGUGCAACGGAUCCCUGCGAUCGCGGCCGAACCGAUUCAGAAGAAUCAAAUCAACGACGACCCUUAAUCGCAUGGAUUACAACGAUUCGUGGCGCGGAAGCGAUUAAAUCUUUCGUAAUCGCACGGAAACGUUCUGGAUACAAGAGGGUCACUAAAGGUGCGGGAAUAAAUUGGUAUCGAACUCUCCAUCCACGAGAUUUGGACCAAGACCUACGACUGUGCAUAUUGAGAUUUCGUCAUUCAGUUUUGUUGUAUUUGCCAAGGUAUGGAAAUCAGCUUCCAUGUGUCGCAAUGGCAGAUCAAUAUCCGGUUUGCGAGUCUCAAUCGUCCAGGCAUAAUCAUCCGAAGCGAUCAAGACCUGCCAAGGAAAUCGUUACCAAAUUUCAUUUAAAAUGGUUGUAAUGAACUUUGAAGGUACGAUAACUAAUUAGGAAGCCAAAUCACCAGUCAGGCACAUGAAGCCUUCAAACAGGUUCCCCAAAUUAGGUUAUUUGGACGAAAAACGUCACAUGAAUGGUUUCGUUCAAAAAACAAAAUAUUACCUGAACGGGGAGGGAAGGAAAGAAUUUAAUUUUUUAUGGACCUUUUAGCGGCGAUCUUUCAAUCGCCAUAUAAUAUAGUUUUAGCGGCGACGAGUGACGAAUUUAUUAUCGCAAAAAGUCAUUUAAAAGUCAUUUAACAUGUUUUAGACCUAAAAGUCGUCACUAAAAGUAGUAAAGUCGCCGCUAAAACAAAAAAAC
rnacentral:sRNA from 1 species